rnacentral:rRNA from 1 species
AUACGUAGGGGGCGAGCGUUGUCCGGAUUUAUUGGGCGUAAAGGGUGCGUAGGCGGCCUUGUAAGUCAGAUGUGAAAGAUCAUGGCUUAACUGUGGUAAGCAUUUGAAACUGCAGGGCUUGAGUACAGGAGAGGAGAGUGGAAUUCCUAGUGUAGCGGUGAAAUGCGUAGAUAUUAGGAGGAAUACCAGUGGCGAAGGCGACUCUCUGGACUGAUACUGACGCUGAGGCACGAAAGCGUGGGGAGCAAACAGGAUUAGAUACCCUGGUAGUCCACGCUAUAAACGAUGAGUGCUAGGUGUCGGGGGUCAAACCUCGGUGCCGCAGUUAACACAUUAAGCACUCCGCCUGGGGAGUACGGCCGCAAGGCUGAA